GGUGCAUCAGAGAAAGAGAUUUAGGGUUAGGAUUCCAAGUUUGAGAAGGUUCCUGAGCAGGAAAGUUAAGCUUGUUUAUGCUGCUUAUGCUAAAUUGCUGAAGAGAUGGAAAGAAAGUCAGGCUAACUUUGGUGAUCUUUUUGCUGGGAAUUAUCUGUUCUUGCAGGUGAAUCCCAAUUCAUUGAAGCGUUUUGAGAAAGCAUAUCAUAGAACUACUACUGGCUUGUGUCCCAGCUAAUCUCUGCCAAGAAUUGCUUAAUUAAUAUU
rnacentral:misc_RNA from 1 species